rnacentral:rRNA from 1 species
UACGUAGGGGUCGAGCGUUGUCCGGAGUUACUGGGCGUAAAGCGCGUGCAGGUGGCUCAUUACGCCCGGCGUGAAAGCCCCCGGCUCAACCGGGGAGGGUCGUCGGGGACGGGUGAGCUUGAGGGUAGCAGGGGCUGGUAGGAUUCCCGGUGUAGUGGUGAAAUGCGUAGAGAUCGGGAGGAAUACCCGUGGCGAAGGCGGCCAGCUGGGCUACACCUGACACUGAGACGCGAAGGCGUGGGGAGCGAACGGG